UGAAGAGAUGAAAGCAAAAGCUGCUGGGAAAGGGCCCCUGGCCAGUGGUGGAAUAAAGAAGUCUGGCAAAAAGUAGCUUGAUCAAGCUGCAGGCUGAGAAAUGAUCAGGUUACUCAAUGGACCUGCAGACUUCAGAGAGUCUUGAAAACACACUGUCAUUUGGGAAACAUUGUACAUUUUGUUUUGUCAGAAUAAAUCCUUUUUGUUAAGAUGUGA